rnacentral:rRNA from 1 species
GAUGAACGCUGGCGGCGUGCCUAAUACGUGCAAGUCGAGCGAACAGAUGAGGAGCUUGCUCCUCUGACGUUAGCGGCGGACGGGUGAGUAACACGUGGAUAACCUACCUAUAAGACUGGGAUGACUUCGGGAAACCGGAGCUAAUACCGGAUAAUAUAUUGAACCGCAUGGUUCAAUAGUGAAAGACGGUUUUGCUGUCACUUAUAGAUGGAUCCGCGCCGCAUUAGCUAGUUGGUAAGGUAACGGCUUACCAAGGCAACGAUGCGUAGCCGACCUGAGAGGGUGAUCGGCCACACUGGAACUGAGACACGGUCCAGACUCCUACGGGAGGCAGCAGUAGGGAAUCUUCCGCAAUGGGCGAAAGCCUGACGGAGCAACGCCGCGUGAGUGAUGAAGGUCUUCGGAUCGUAAAACUCUGUUAUUAGGGAAGAACAAAUGUGUAAGUAACUAUGCACGUCUUGACGGUACCUAAUCAGAAAGCCACGGCUAACUACGUG